UACGUAGGGUGCAAGCGUUGUCCGGAAUUAUUGGGCGUAAAGAGCUCGUAGGCGGUCUGUUGCGUCGGCUGUGAAAACCCGAGGCUCAACCUCGGGCCUGCAGCCGAUACGGGCAGACUAGAGUUCGGCAGGGGAGACUGGAAUUCCUGGUGUAGCGGUGAAAUGCGCAGAUAUCAGGAGGAACACCGGUGGCGAAGGCGGGUCUCUGGGCCGAUACUGACGCUGAGACGCGAAAGCGUGGGGAGCAAACAGG
rnacentral:rRNA from 1 species